GUGGGGAAUAUUGGACAAUGGGCGAAAGCCUGAUCCAGCCAUGCCGCGUGUGUGAAGAAGGUCUUCGGAUUGUAAAGCACUUUAAGUUGGGAGGAAGAGCAGUAAGUUAAUACCUUGCUGUUUUGACGUUACCAACAGAAUAAGCACCGGCUAACUUCGUGCCAGCAGCCGCGGUAAUACGAAGGGUGCAAGCGUUAAUCGGAAUUACUGGGCGUAAAGCGCGCGUAGGUGGUUCAGCAAGUUGGAGGUGAAAUCCCCGGGCUCAACCUGGGAACUGCCUCCAAAACUACUGAGCUAGAGUACGGUAGAGGGUAGUGGAAUUUCCUGUGUAGCGGUGAAAUGCGUAGAUAUAGGAAGGAACACCAGUGGCGAAGGCGACUACCUGGACUGAUACUGACACUGAGGUGCGAAAGCGUGGGGAGCAAACAGGAUUAGAUACCCUUGUAGUCC
rnacentral:rRNA from 1 species